rnacentral:rRNA from 1 species
UACGUAGGGUGCAAGCGUUGUCCGGAAUUAUUGGGCGUAAAGAGCGUGUAGGCGGUUUGGUAGGUCCGCUGUGAAAACUCGAGGCUCAACCUCGAGACGCCGGUGGAAACCAUCAGACUAGAGUCCGGAAGAGGAGAGUGGAAUUCCUGGUGUAGCGGUGAAAUGCGUAGAUAUCAGGAGGAACACCUGUGGUGUAGACAGCUUACUGGACCAUUUCUGACGCUGAGACACGAAAGCGUGGGUAGCAAACAGG